rnacentral:rRNA from 1 species
UACGUAGGGUGCAAGCGUUAAUCGGAAUUACUGGGCGUAAAGCGUGCGCAGGCGGUUUUGUAAGUCUGUCGUGAAAGCCCCGGGCUCAACCUGGGAAUUGCGAUGGAGACUGCAAGGCUUGAAUCUGGCAGAGGGGGGUAGAAUUCCACGUGUAGCAGUGAAAUGCGUAGAGAUGUGGAGGAACACCGGUGGCGAAGGCGGCAUCCUGGACCGGCAUUGACGCUGAGGCGCGAAAGCCAGGGGAGCAAACGGG